CUCCAGGUGUCCGAAAUGGUGCAAAUCUUUUAAAUUUGUUAUAGUUACUUAAACUCCUAGAGA
rnacentral:tRNA from 1 species